UUCAGGCUCUGCACUGCCCCGUGGGCACCAUUUAAAGCUCCCCGUGGAGAAGAGUCAAUUGAGAGUGAGUAGCUGGAGGAAGCAAUUUAGCUUAUUACUUCCAGCACAAACUCAGCAUGUGGAAGCUGCAGCCAGGAGAGGCAAAAACAGCGAACACGGUACAGGUCAGACGCUGCUGGAUGCCUGUGGGAACGGAUGUUUACUCAAAAGAAUAAAAGCCGUACGUGGGACCCUCAAGUCUCUUCAUUAAAGGGGAACAAACAUUUGCAGUCUGUUUGUGUUGCCCCAGCACCAAGAAAGGACAGUGGGACCCACUCCGUACUUACAUUAAGCUACAUUAUCCUGGUCUCGCUAAAGGUGAAAGCCAGCAGCAAUACAACAAAAGCAUCAUGAGGGGACGAAGGAGCAGUGGGCGCAGGAGGUUUGCAUUAGAGGGCAAAUUGUUAAGCCACAAUUGAUCCCAGAGCCCUGAGGAGCAAGACCUGUGAGCGUGAGCACAUGUGCAUGGGACAGGGGGCUUAGGCUACUGUAAAAUGGUUGUACACAGUAAACAGCAUUUUGGCUGCAA